rnacentral:rRNA from 1 species
CCGGCUCUGAUGUCCUCCCGCGCGCCAGUCAGUAGCGGCAUCCUCUCUCCAAUGCAGCAAGUCAGACGGAGCAGCCCGCCGAGUGCGUGCAGGCUUUCGAUCUGUAACGUUUGUGUUAGGAAGACACAGUACCGUUCGAAUACGGCGUACCUGGACGUACCUAAUCAGAAAGCACGGGCUAUUACGUGCCAGCAGCCGCGGUUAUAUGUAGCGGCAACGUGUUGUCAGGAAUAUCGGGCGUAAAGGGCUCGCCCGCCGGUUCUCUAAGUUUGAUGUGAAAGCCCCCCGGCUCAACCGGGCAGGGUCAUUGAAACUGGGGAACUUGAGUGCAGAAGAGGAGAGUGGAAUUCCCACGUCUAGCGGUGAAAUGCGUAGAGAUGUGGAGGAACACCAGUGGCGAAGGCGACUCUCUGGUCUGUAACUGACGCUGAGGAGCGAAAGCGUGGGGAGCGAACAGGAUUAGAUACCCUGGUAGUCCACGCCGUAAACGAUGAGUGCUAAGUGUUAGGGGGUUUCCGCCCCUUUAGUGCUGCAGCUAACGCAUUAAGCACUCCGCCUGGGGAGUACGGUCGCAAGACUGAAACUCAAAGGAAUUGACGGGGGCCCGCACAAGCGGUGGAGCAUGUGGUUUAAUUCGAAGCAACGCGAAGAACCUUACCAGGUCUUGACAUCCUCUGACAAUCCUAGAGAUAGGACGUCCCCUUCGGGGGCAGAGUGACAGGUGGUGCAUGGUUGUCGUCAGCUCGUGUCGUGAGAUGUUGGGUUAAGUCCCGCAACGAGCGCAACCCUUGAUCUUAGUUGCCAGCAUUCAGUUGGGCACUCUAAGGUGACUGCCGGUGACAAACCGGAGGAAGGUGGGGAUGACGUCAAAUCAUCAUGCCCCUUAUGACCUGGGCUACACACGUGCUACAAUGGACAGAACAAAGGGCAGCGAAACCGCGAGGUUAAGCCAAUCCCACAAAUCUGUUCUCAGUUCGGAUCGCAGUCUGCAACUCGACUGCGUGAAGCGGAAUCGCUGUAAUCGCGGAUCAGCUUGCCGCGAAGAAUACGUUCCCGGGCCUGUUCACCCCGCCGUUCGCACCAGCAACCCGUCGAGCGUAGAGUUCCUCCGGGCUCAGUAAGUCGCAACGAGCAUCCGAGAGUUCUCCGC